AGCCUUGAGGUGUUAACAUAUAGGAUUGCAAAUCUUAAGUAGCAGAUUGACGUCUGCCGGGGCUU
rnacentral:tRNA from 1 species